GACGAACGCUGGCGGCGUGCUUAACACAUGCAAGUCGAACGGUGAUCUUGAGAGCUUGCUCUUGGGUGAUCAGUGGCGAACGGGUGAGUAACACGUGAGUAACCUGCCCCUGACUCUGGAAUAACUUCGGGAAACCGAAGCUAAUACCGGAUAUGACACAGAGCCGCAUGGUUUCUGUGUGGAAAGUUUUUCGGUUGGGGAUGGACUCGCGGCCUAUCAGCUUGUUGGUGAGGUAAUGGCUCACCAAGGCGACGACGGGUAGCCGGCCUGAGAGGGCGACCGGCCACACUGGGACUGAGACACGGCCCAGACUCCUACGGGAGGCAGCAGUGGGGAAUAUCGCACAAUGGGCGAAAGCCUGAUGCAGCGACGCCGCGUGAGGGAUGAAGGCCUUCGGGUUGUAAACCUCUUUCAGUAGGGAAGAAGCGCAAGUGACGGUACCUACAGAAGAAGCACCGGCUAACUACGUGCCAGCCGCCGCGGUAAGAC
rnacentral:rRNA from 1 species